rnacentral:sRNA from 1 species
CAACAAAUGAAAGGAGGUGGUCCAGUGUCUAUAAAGGGAUUGGAGAGAGGUGCCGGAACAGUUCGGAGGGAUCGCGCCUAGAGCAGCCUCUGGGACAGAAUUUACCCGAAUUGGUGCGGCCUAACCGGCCCCACCUCCGCAAACCUUUAGGGGGCCGUUCCGGGAUCGGGACGGCCC